rnacentral:rRNA from 1 species
GACGGGGGGUCCUAGCGUUGUUCGGAAUUAUUGGGCGUAAAGGGUGUGCAGGCGGUUUGGAAAGUUGGAUGUGAAAUCCUCGGGCUUAACCCGAGACGUGCAUUCAAAACUCCCAAACUUGAGUAUGGAAGAGGGUCGUGGAAUUCCAGGUGUAGUGGUGAAAUACGUAGAUAUCUGGAGGAACACCGGUGGCGAAGGCGGCGACCUGGUCCAAUACUGACGCUCAUACACGAAAGCGUGGGGAUCAAACAGG